rnacentral:rRNA from 1 species
CCUACGGGAGGCAGCAGUGAGGAAUAUUGGUCAAUGGACGCAAGUCUCAACCAGCCAUGCCGCGUGCAGGAAGACGGCUCUAUGAGUUGUAGACUGCUUUUGUACGAGGGUAAACGCAGAUACGCGUAUCUGUCUGAAAGUAUCGUACGAAUAAGGAUCGGCUAACUCCGUUCCCGCAGCCGCGGUAAUACGGAGGAUUCAAGCGUUAUCCGGGUUUUAUGGGUUUAAAGGGUGCGUAGGCGGUUGGAUAAGUUAGAGGUGAAAUCCCGAGGCUCCACUUCGGAAUUGCCUUUGAUAAUGUUAGGCGAGAGGGUAGUUGGGGGAGGCGGAAUGUAUGGGGG